rnacentral:rRNA from 1 species
UACGAAGGGUGCAAGCGUUACUCGGAAUCACUGGGCGUAAAGCGUGCGUAGGCGGUUCGUUAAGUCUGCUGUGAAAGCCCUGGGCUCAACCUGGGAACUGCAGUGGAUACUGGCGGACUAGAGUGUGAUAGAGGAUGGUGGAAUUCCCGGUGUAGCGGUGAAAUGCGUAGAGAUCGGGAGGAACACCAGUGGCGAAGGCGGCCAUCGGGAUCAACACUGACGCUGAGGCACGAAAGCGUGGGGAGCAAACAGGG